AUUUCAUUUUGUAACUCUCUCUUGCAAAAUCCCCUAGAAUUCUCUCUCGUUUUACUCCUGAUAGGUGUUCAGUUCAUGAUUAUUUUCUCCCAUAAGCCUGCCUUAAGGCUUAAAACCCCGAACCUCGAUACCAUGUUAAGUGACAAUCUCCUCAAACCCCCGAACCUCAAAUUCCUGUCGUCUCCAUUUAAGGAUUCGAGCAUGGAAAAUCCCGACAAAAAUUCCCAUAUUAAUGUGGGAAGAGGAGCAGAAAGCUGGAUGGGGAUGGGUAAAAUGGUGCAAGCAAUUGCACUGGUACUAGCUAGGUUGCGAGAGGUUAAGGCAACCCUUGUGGUAUGCGCUCUGGUUGCUAUGAGCCAGUGGGUGAACGAGAUCAAUCGAUUCACCUAGUAUAUCAUGGAGCCAAUCGAGAAAACACGCUUCAUGAAUUAUGAGUUUUCUGACUAUGAUUUUAUAAUCACAACCUAUUCGAUUGUAGAAGUUCCAGUAGUGCUUGUAUAGGUUUCAAAUUAUUAAGGGAGCAGAAGAUGUACCAUGUUUAUUAAAAUAAAUUGUAAUAAACAAAUUGUUGGUCCUUUGUAUUUUGU